GAGUAAUGAAGUUAAGUGGUUGGGGUGAGCUUGAAUGCUUUAUUUUUUUAAUAUUUAAAACAACGUCAGCUGAGUACCAGGUGUGAAGUAGAGGUAAUGACUGAAUAAAACCAAGAGAAAGGGGAGAUUUGUUCCAACCGCAGAAUUUCCAAUUUCUGCAACAAGAGCUCUUACCUUCAGCCCCACUGCGCCUGCUCUAGGCUCUCCUCUGAUCCUCAGGACAUUUUUCCUCUCACUCUUUGAGAACUCGUUUACCUUCCUCUUCCAUCAAUGUUUGAUCACCCAGAGAAGGUGGGAGAAUAAAUACCAAGCACUGUGCCUUCCCUCAAGGAGCGUUUAAUCCAGUGUCACUGCUGACUUCCUGUGGAUAAUGCAAAGUUGGCUUACAAUAGUAAGGGAGACCACUAAAUUGACAGAAUCUUUGUAGCAUUUCAAAAGGGUGUCAGGCCUCUGAGCCCAAGCUAAGCCAUCAUAUCCCCAGUGACCUGCACAUACACAUCCAGAUGACCUGAAGCAACUGAAGAUCCACAAAAAAAGUGAAAAUAGCCUUAACUGAUAACAUUCCACCAUUGUGAUUUAUUUCUGCCCCAACCUAACUGAUCAAUGUACUUUGUAAUCUCCUCCACCCUUAGGAAGGUUCUUUAUAAUCUCCCCCAUCCUUAAGAAGAUUCCUUGUAAUUCUCCCCACCCUUGAGAAUGUACUUUGUGAGAUAUGCCCCCUGUCCCCAAAACAUUGCUCUUAACUCCACCGCCUAUCCCAAAACCUAUAAGAACUAAUGAUAAUCCCACCACCUUUUGCUGACUCCUUUUUCGGACUCAGCCCGCCUGCACCCAGGUGAAAUAAACAGCCUUGUUUUUCACACAAA
rnacentral:sRNA from 1 species